rnacentral:sRNA from 20 species
AGUAUAGUCUCUUAAAUACACAAAGCCCUUUAACAAGGGCUUUUU